rnacentral:ncRNA from 1 species
NNNNNNNNNNNNNNNNUCCAACCCAGUACGAGAGGACCGUUGGUUCAGAUAAUUGGUAACUGCGGUUAGCUGAAAAGCUAGUGCCGCCAAGCUACCAUCUGUAGGAUUAUGGCUGAACGCCUCUAAGUCAGAAUCCAUGCUGGAAUAGACGAUAAUCACCUUUCCCGAUGUGCCGCGAAUAGCGAUAGGUGUCUUCUGGACACCCAACAUCAUACAAUUGCAACGCACUCCGCUGCCUGUCAAGUACUGGCGGUGGAGAGUAGGCUGAUUUGUAAUUUCAAAUAUUGGGAAAGAUAAAUCCUUUGUAGACGACUUAACUACAGAACGGGGUGUUGUAAGCAUGAGAGUAGUCUUGUACUACGAUCUGCUGAGAUUUAGCCCUUGUUCUAUUGAUUU